rnacentral:tRNA from 1 species
CAAGAAAUAGUUUAUUAAAAUAUUAAUUUUGGAGAUUAAUGAUAGGGUUUUCUCUUUUCUUGA